UUAAGCUACAAAGGGCAUACGGUGGAUGCCUAGGCAUUGAGAGUCGAUGAAGGACGCGGUAAGCUGCGAAAAGGUAUGGGGAGCCGCAAGCAGGCAAUGAUCCAUACAUCUCCGAAUGGGGCAACCCGGUACGAGUCAUGUCGUACCAUCCUACGGGAGGAUAACCCGGUGAACUGAAACAUCUAAGUAGCCGGAGGAAGAGUAAUCAAACGAGAUUCCCAUAGUAGCGGCGAGCGAACAGGGAAGAGCCCAAACCCGUUGUCUUCGGACGACGGGGGUUGAGGACCAGCAUAAAUCAAAGAAGUGUUAGAAGAAGGGCAUGGGAAGGCCUGGCGCAGAGGGUGAGACCCCCGUAUUUAAAAACAUUUCGAGAGGGCUGGUAUCCAGAGUACCACGAGACACGUGAAACCUUGUGGGAAGCAGGGUGGACCACCAUCCAAGGCAAAAUACUACUCAAUGACCGAUAGCGCAUAGUACCGUGAGGGAAAGGUGAAAAGUACCCCUGGAGGGGAGUGAAAUAGAACCUGAAACCGUAUGUCUACAAGCAGUCGAAGCACUUUAUAUGUGCGACGGCGUGCCUAUUGAAGAAUGAACCGGCGAGUUAUCCGUUGUGGCGAGGUUAAGUGGAAGACACGGAGCCGAAGCGAAAGCGAGUCUUAAUAGGGCGACAGUCACAGCGGGUAGACCCGAAACCACAGUGAUCUAUGCAUGGCCAGGUUGAAGCUCAGGUAAAAAUGAGUGGAGGACCGAACCCGUGAGUGUUGAAAAACUUUGGGAUGAGCUGUGCAUAGGGGUGAAAUGCCAAUCGAACGUGGAGAUAGCUGGUUCUCCCCGAAAUAGCUUUAGGGCUAGCCUCAGGGAAUGCACAUAGACGGUAGAGCUCUGAUCGGGCUAGGGGGCGUAAAGCCUACCGACCCCAGUCAAACUGCGAAUGGCUAUGUGAGAAGAACCUGGGAGUCAGACUGCGAGUGAUAAGACCCGUAGUCAAGAGGGAAACAGCCCAGACCGCCGACUAAGGUCCCAAAUGCUGUACUAAGUGGAAAAGGAUGUAGGACUUCAGAAACAACCAGGAUGUUGGCUCAGAAGCAGCCACCAUUUAAAGAGUGCGUAAUAGCUCACUGGUCGAGAGGCCCUGCGCCGAAAAUAUCCGGGGCUCAAGUACAGAACCGAAGUCGCGGCAUGGUAUGUCAUACACAGAGCGUCUAUGAAAGUAAUGAGGAUAUUUUGUCCGAACGAAGUGAGGACUAAAUACUCUUGUGGGGUUCGUACAGAACCGAUGGAUGUUGUGUGUAUGACAUACCUUGGGUAGGGGAGCGUUGAAACAGCGGAGAAGGCGUACCGUAAGGAGCGCUGGAGCGGUUUCAAGAGAGAAUGCCGGUAUGAGUAGCGAAAAGGACGGUGAGAAUCCGUCCCACCGAAAGCCUAAGGUUUCCUGAGCAACGCUCGUCGACUCAGGGUAAGUCGGGACCUAAGCCGAGGCAGCAAGCAUAGGCGAUGGACAACAGGCUAAUAUUCCUGUACCCGCAAGUUUUGUUUGAGCAAUGGAGUGACGCAGGAGAAAGUGGGAGCUGGCUGCUGGAAUAGCCAGUCGAAGGCUGCAGGCUGCGGAGGAGGCAAAUCCCUUCCGUAACGGCUCAGAGCUGAUAGAUAGACGACCUUCGGGGAGUCAAAUUUCCAUGAAUCACACUGCCGAGAAAAGCUUCUAGUGAGAAACUUGUGGCCCGUACCAAAACCGACACAGGUAGGCGGGGAGAGUAUCCUAAGGUGCGCGGGAAAACCCUCGUUAAGGAACUCGGCAAAAUGCAUCCGUAACUUCGGGAUAAGGAUGACCGGAGCUGGUGAACUCCCUGCGGAGGAAGCUGGAGCCGGUGGCAGAAGAGAGGCCCAAGCGACUGUUUACCAUAAACACAGGUGCCUGCUAAAGAGAAAUCUGACGUAUAGGUGCUGACACCUGCCCGGUGCUGGAAGGUUAAGAGGAGGGGUCAGGCGCAAGCUGAAGCUCUGAAUUGAAGCCCCAGUAAACGGCGGCCGUAACUAUAACGGUCCUAAGGUAGCGAAAUUCCUUGUCGGGU
rnacentral:rRNA from 1 species